AAUGAACUGUCACCGGACAGCGAACUUGUAAAAGUUCAUCUUUAUCUCUUUAGGUCUUAGUAGAGGUAAUGAUGAGCUUUUUUUUUUU
rnacentral:ncRNA from 1 species